GUGGUGAAUAAGACCACUGGCAACAUUUGACCACUCCUGGUGUUGUCCGUGGAGAACACAUACACACACACACACACACACCCACAGAAUCACUAAAACACACACCCUCGCCCGCAUGUGCACAUAAACACUUAAGGAUGAUGAUCAUAUUUUUCAAGACUAUUGAACAUCAGUAUCAGUAGGACCUGAUCAUAGUCAACUGGUAUCUUUUCAAUAUCUGUUUGAAACUCAGAUUCAGAUUCAGAAAACUUUAUUGAUCCCAAGAAGGGUAAUUCAUAUGCAGCUUACCCAGUCCUAUCACACAACUUAAAAUACUUGUAAGACUCACAGACAAGUCAAGAUAGUUAUAUGUCAGAGGCUACAGAUCAACAUGCAUAGGUCAGUACAAGGAGACAAAGAGACUAACACCUGUUAUGGUUCAUAUAAAUAACCAAGUUUAAAGGGUUGUAAGAGUUGUUUUAAAUUACUUCUGUCUGUGUUUACAGUUUUUCUCAAUCGUUUAAACACGUUUUCUGAAACUAUAGAUCAUUUUCUCAAAGCUCUAAACACUCACCUGAGAAGAGUUAAUCAUUUUGUCAAAACUACACAAAUUCUUCUCAAAAAUGUUUUUUUCCACCAAACAGUAAACACAGCUAUCAAAUGAAUAUCUCAUAGAGCAUCAAUUAAACAAUUGUGUGAUCAAUUCAAAACACUUCCAUCAAAAUGCUAUUUACAUAUGUUUUUGCCUUUAUGAGGUCAUGUUACAUAUUCCAAUGUAUAAAAUUGUUUAGAAAUAGCUUUCUUUUUUAAAGUUGCAAUCAGGUGGUACAAAUAGUAUAAAAACUGUUGCCAUAUUGUAAUACAAUACUGUGAAUAUAUCAUAUAAAUAUUGCAUUGACACAAUCAUAUCAGAAUAGGAUACAAUGCAUAUUUGUCUAUCCAAUAAGCUCCAAUGGGCUAAACUCACAAUCCCAGCUUCCCAGAGUCAUACUGUACACCUAUAGUUGAUGCUGCAACAUUGUUCUGACAAUACAUGUUACCUAUUUUGGUUAAUUACAGUACAGUACUGUAAUUGCACUGAUAAGUAAAAUGAAAAACACUAGUUCGAAAAUGUUUAGACUGUCUUUCGGGGAUGUAAUGAUGAAAUCAGUGCAAGUACAAGUACAAAAUGGUAACAAAGCAAAUAUAUAUAUUUUACUGUAAUACAGUCCAAUGUUCAGCUGUACUGACUGCAUAAAAAACCUUUCGUAGGCUACCAAAAAAUAAAAAUAAGAAUAUAAAUGAGGUGAAGCAGAUCUACAUGUAAAUCUGUAUGUAUCCCACCUCCAAUCCUGAUCAGGCCAAAGGACCAUAUCUACAACACAGUAGAGCUCACCGAGUCCUCUUUAAUGCUCUGACACAUGAUUGAAGUGUUUAGCCAGUUGAGUUUGAACAGGUGAGAAGUGAGUUAGACUUAUUGGCAAUAAGUUGUUGCGUUUUGAAGGCCAGUGUGAUCCAGGUGAACCAAGUGUGCUAAAUGAUGAGGCUUGUUCUUAGAGUUGAGCAAAAAUGUGAAAAGAGUGGAAUUGUGCUUAGAGUUUAGCAUUCUGGAGUAUUGUAGUUGAUACAUGACCUUCAAGUUUUCAGAAUUGUGUGCAUGGUUCCAUUUGUUGUGUUUAUACAAUCGAGAAAAACUGUAAUAGCCUGAUUGUGGAAGGAGUGAAGGACUUAGUGUAGCGGUUUGUCUUGCUUAGGGGCACCUUGUAACGCCAGCAUGAGGGCAUUACAGUGAAUUCACUGGAAAGAACAUGGUCCAAUUGACUCAUCAUUCCUACCUCUUCUUUCUGGAGGGGCGUCCAUCUGUAUUAUCAGGAGGAUUAUCCAUACAGCCUUCACUCUUCAGGGAGACACAGCUGGGUCCAGGGGAGUCUGUUCUCGUCCGCAGGACUCUUCUAGAAAAACAAGAAGCAGGAUUUAUGGAUGUUAUGCGCUUCUGCACACAAAUGUAAACACAAGGUCUAAAAAAAAGAUUGCCUAGGUCUAGUUGCUAUAUAAAAAAAUGUACAUAAGGCAAACGUUAUAAAUUAGGAGUGAUAUUUAAAGGAACAAACCUAUAGACUAGGACCAACAAAUUACCAAAAAUAAACAGCUACAUGACCAAAAG
ensembl:lncRNA